UGGGGAAUUUUGGACAAUGGGCGCAAGCCUGAUCCAGCAAUGCCGCGUGCAGGAAGAAGGCCUUCGGGUUGUAAACUGCUUUUGUACGGAACGAAACGGUCUGGGUUAAUACCCUGGGCUAAUGACGGUACCGUAAGAAUAAGCACCGGCUAACUACGUGCCAGCAGCCGCGGUAAUACGUAGGGUGCAAGCGUUAAUCGGAAUUACUGGGCGUAAAGCGUGCGCAGGCGGUUUUGUAAGACAGUCGUGAAAUCCCCGGGCUCAACCUGGGAAUUGCGAUUGUGACUGCAAAGCUGGAGUGCGGCAGAGGGGGAUGGAAUUCCGCGUGUAGCAGUGAAAUGCGUAGAUAUGCGGAGGAACACCGAUGGCGAAGGCAAUCCCCUGGGCCUGCACUGACGCUCAUGCACGAAAGCGUGGGGAGCAAACAGGAUUAGAUACCCUGGUAGUCCACGCCCUAAACG
rnacentral:rRNA from 1 species